rnacentral:rRNA from 1 species
UACGCAGGGGGCUAGCGUUGCUCGGAAUCACUGGGCGUAAAGGGUGCGCAGGCCGCGCGGGCAGUCAAAUGUGUAAUUCAGGGGCUCAACCCCUGGACUGCGCUUGAUACUUCCGUGCUAGAACCUUGGAGAGGAGUCUGGAAUUCUCGGUGUAGCAGUGAAAUGCGUGGAUAUCGAGAAGAACACUAACGGCGUAAGCAAGACUCUGGACAAGUGUUGACGCUCAUGCACGAAGGCUAGGGUAGCGAACGGG